GAGCCAGCUUUGACAACCCCCUCGGGUCCCCUUCCACAGUGUGGAAGCUUUGUUAUUUCGCUCUUUGCAAUAAAUCUUGCUACUGCUCACUCUUUGGGUCCACGCUACUUUUAUGAGCUGUAACACCCACCGUGAAGAUCUGCAGCUUCACUCCUGAGCCCAACGAGCCCACGAGCCCACUGGGAGGAACCAACAACUCCAGACGUGCUGCCUUAAGAGCUGUAACACUCACCGUGAAGGUCUGCAGCUUCACCCCUGAGCCAGUGAGACCACGAACCCACCAGAAGGAAGAAACUCCAAACACAUCUGAACAUCAGAAGGGACAGACUCCAGACGCGCCACUUUAAGAGCUGUAACACUCACCGCGAGGGUCCGCGGCUUCAUUCUUGAAGUCAGUGAGACCAAGAACCCACCCAUUCCGGACACACCAUCAUCAUGUAAGGCACUAACAACAGGAGAAGCUGGGUGAAAGAAUCUAUGUCACAGUGAUUGAUUUACUGCAUAUGAGCAGAAUGAACCUGGACCUGGCCAGUAUCAUUAAGCUGUGUUUCCCCUGAAGUUAUGUGAAAAGCAUUUGUGGAUUUAACAGAGUUAAGGGUCUCACUUCAUCACCUAGACUGGAGUACAGUAGCACAGUUGCAGCUUCCUACAUCUUGACUUCCUGGGUUCCAGUGAUCCUCCCCCUUCAGCCUCUCAGCAGAGAGAGAAAGAAAGCAGAGCUCUUUGAAGCAGAGAAAGAAAGCAGAAAGCAGAGAUCUUUGAAGGCUUAAGAAACCAUAAGGAGUUUUGGAGAGUCAAUGCAUGAUGAUCUCUGAAGAUUCUACUGAAAUCUAAUCAAUAUGUCCUCACUGCCAUCAAUUCAAAAGAACUUGCUAAGAAGGCUCUAGAGGCUUGUACUCUCAGAUAGUGAAAGUGAGAUGAUGUGUAGUGAAAGUCAUAUAUAGGUUGUAAAUUGCAAUAUGGAAUUCCCAAAUGCUGAAUUCAUUUUAUCUCUUCGGAAAUAAAAACCUGUUAAAGACUCAUU
rnacentral:lncRNA from 10 species